AUCACUACACGUCUGAGCUGCAUAGCGAGACCCUGUACCAAAUAAAUAAAUAAAAGAUUAAAAAAUAAAAACUCUAAGAAGACUUCUCCUUGGCAUCAGUGCUACUGGUGGGAGAGUCUGAGACAGAAGGCUGGCAGCUUGUCUCAGGUCUCCGGCUCUUCCACUGCAACCCCGCCCUGACGCCUUCCUGGUGAGGAAGUAGUUCAUAUCAGAAACUAAAUGGACAAAGCCAAAUAGUCUGCACUUUGGCAAUUGAUUAUACAGACCGCACCCCACAUUUGCUCUGCACUUGUUUCAAAGCAUCAAAUAUUUGACUUUAUGAAAAUAAUGCCAAGCAGCUCCCACUCUGAAGAUCAGAGAGAAUCUGGAGUGACCUGUCAUCCUCCGAACAGAACUGGGGGGCUCCUGGGCCCAGGUAUGAAGGUGGGCCACCUCCUAGACACUGGUACAAAGGCCAGACUCUGAGGAAAGGGAAGAAAGACAGAGACCUCAGGACAUCAGCAGAUGUCUGACGUGGGAGGGCAUACAGAAGCCCCCGCGGAGGGUACCAGCCUCCCACCUGGCAAGACGGCGCACGUGAAGGGACAGAGAGAAAGUGGUGCAGCUGAGGAGCUCUGGGACGGCUCGUGCUGUGUGGAACAGUAGGCCACGAGUCCAAGAGCUCACAGCUUUUAUUGGUAUCAAUCAGGAAGGCAGGAAGGGGCCCCAGCAGAGUGCCAGGGAGAAGCAUUUUGCAGGUGUGGCUGUAAGGAGAAAUAAAGCGCCCUCGCGCCCCGCACAGAGGCCUCCAACUAGUGAUGUAAUAAGGGGGAGCUUGGUGUGCGCGACGCCGGCACCUUUGCUGCCAAGAAGGUAUAAUUCUUUCUGAGUCCACAGCCUCAGCAGAGACAGUAUCUCAGGUCUUAGCCCUGGAAUCUCACAGGCUCUUGCUCAGAGCCUCUAUUCUACUGGGGGCAGUUCUUACCUGCUUUGUUAUGCUGAGACUCAUGAGCACCUCAGCCAGGCUCCAAUAGGGCUGAAAGGUGAGAUAAAGAUGGACAUGGGCAGUCAUAGCUCAGCAGAACUUGGAAGUCUUCCCCAAGGGUGAAUCUCUUACCCCGUGGGGUAGGAGCCAGGGUCUUCAAUAACCCUUUCACCGUACUACAUUAGCAGGCACUGAGUGUCCCCUUGCUGGGGGCACGAGAGGCUCUUCCUGGGACUUAAGGGUGGGCCUCCUGCAUGCUCCGGGGGCACCAAGGCACUGUGCACUGGCACUGUUAUUGCCAUGCCUCCUCCAGACAUGGCUCAGAAGUACUGUCUCACCGCCUAUUAUGGCUUGGCUCUAGCUUGUCCCCAAGCCUCGGUGCUGAAGGGUGGGUGGAUCACAGGGCGGUGGGUCAGGUGGAAAGGGGGGUGUCCCUGGGGGAUGCCCUGAGGGGUUAUCUCCCACUCCAGCCCUUCCCUUUUGCUGACCCUUGCCCCAAAGCCCUGAGCAGCUUUCCUCCCGCUGCGUCUGCCUUGGGGCCAGUCGAGCCUGGGCUGGAACCCUGAACUAAACCUCUCCUUGGAGAUAGGACUGUCGGGGAAAGGGUACCAGCGGAGAGAAAGCCACAGGUUCACACUUCAGGUCAUGCAGACUUCAAGCCCCUGAGUCAGGAACCAUCCACAUCCUGUAUUUCUGUCUCCUCCAACCCAAACAUACACAUUUAACUGUGAUUCGGUGAGCACUCCCCAGGAGGUGUUAACAAGCAAUAUGCAUAGAAUAAGAGUUUAGGUUAAGCAUCCCACGCCUGCAAUCCUGGCACAGGGGAGGCUGAGGCAGGAGGAUCCCUGCAAGUUAGAAACCAUGCUGGGCUAC